GGGGUUGUGGUUCAGCAGUGGAACGCUUGCCUUGCAUGUAAGAGGUACCGGGUUAGAUCCUCAGCACCA
rnacentral:tRNA from 1 species